rnacentral:rRNA from 1 species
UACGGAGGGUGCAAGCGUUAUCCGGAUUCACUGGGUUUAAAGGGUGCGUAGGCGGCUUAUUAAGUCAGGGGUGAAAGGCGGUAGCUUAACUAUCGGAGUGCCCUUGAUACGGAUGAGCUUGAAUGCAGCUGAGGUAGGCGGAAUGUGACAAGUAGCGGUGAAAUGCAUAGAUAUGUCACAGAACACCGAUUGCGAAGGCAGCUUACUAAAGUGCGAUUGACGCUGAGGCACGAAAGCGUGGGGAUCAAACAGG